CCUACGGGUGGCAGCAGUGAGGAAUAUUGGUCAAUGGGCGAGAGCCUGAACCAGCCAAGUCGCGUGAAGGAUGACGGCCCUACGGGUUGUAAACUUCUUUUGUCAGGGAGCAAUUUGGUACACGCGUGGGCUUAGCGAGAGUACCUGCAGAAAAAGCAUCGGCUAACUCCGUGCCAGCAGCCGCGGUAAUACGGAGGAUGCGAGCGUUCGCCGGAUUUAUUGGGUUGAAAGGGUGCGCAGGCGGAAGAUUAAGUCAGUGGUAAAAUUGAGAGGCUCAACCGCUGCGAGCCGUUGAAACUGGUUUACUUGAGUGAGUGAGAAGUAUGCGGAAUGCGAGGUGUAGCGGUGAAAUGCAUAGAUAUCACGCAGAACUCCGAAUGCGAAGGCAGCAUACCGGGGCUCAACUGACGCUCAUGCACGAAAGUGUGGGUAUCGAACAGGAUUAGAUACCCUUGUAGUC
rnacentral:rRNA from 1 species